CGGAAAUAAUCGAGGAUAAGAAGCCGGAGUUCAUGGCCCCUCCGCCUGCUCCUUCAUCGGCGACGGGAACUGCAAAUGAUUACCUGUACUUUGAUGCGUCCGAUUCAGCACCGAAGUUGCACACGGACUCAAGCUGCUCGGAGCACGUAGUGUCGCCGGAGUUCACGUCCGAGGUACAGAGUGAGCCUAAGUGGAAAGACUGGGGGGACGCAAAUGCCCUGGAUUUCUCAUACAAUUACAUGGAUGCCACCAUGGAAAAAGAGUUCGGGUCACUGUAUCCGGGAAAUAAUCAGAUGUCACCGCUUCAGGAUAUAUUCAUGCACCUAGCGAAGCCGUUUUGAGUCGAAAUGCAGAUCGAGUGGAGCAUUGAAGUCUGAUGAGCAAUCGCACAG
rnacentral:misc_RNA from 1 species